rnacentral:ncRNA from 1 species
AUGUAAAAAAAGGGGAGCUUGCAGACAGGCUGAGAGGAAGGUGCACCCUUCGACCCUGGAACCUGAUGUGGGUAAUGCCAACGGAGGAAGAUAACAGGAUAGAACC